UUUGCUAGGGAUCAGAUCUUCCUCCUACCGACGUGUGAUCCAGCCCUCUUCAGCCUGCAUAUGCUUAUAGGCCCAGGCUAGGAGGUUGGUAUAGUCCCUCGGAUAGAUCUUGUCAAGGGAGUAGAUGAGGCGCUCAUUGUAGAGGCCUCACUUCAGCACCGACAUGGCAAUGCCUUCAUCCAGACUGCACACCUCCAGUGUGGCUAUGUUGAAACAUGCCACAUAAUCGCACAGAGAUUCUCUCUCUUCCUGAUGGAGGG
rnacentral:lncRNA from 1 species